CCUACGGGAGGCAGCAGUGAGGAAUAUUGGUCAAUGGACGAGAGUCUGAACCAGCCAAGUAGCGUGAAGGAUGACUGCUCUAUGGGUUGUAAACUUCUUUUAUAUGGGAAUAAAAUGUUCCACGUGUGGGAUUUUGUAUGUACCAUAUGAAUAAGGAUCGGCUAACUCCGUGCCAGCAGCCGCGGUAAUACGGAGGAUCCGAGCGUUAUCCGGAUUUAUUGGGUUUAAAGGGAGCGUAGGUGGAUUGAUAAGUCAGUUGUGAAAGUUUGCGGCUCAACCGUAAAAUUGCAGUUGAAACUGGCAGUCUUGAGUACAGGAGAGGUAGGCGGAAUGCGUGGUGUAGCGGUGAAAUGCUUAGAUAUCACGAAGAACACCGAUUGCGAAGGCAGUUCACUGGACUGCAACUGACACUGAGGCUCGAAAGUGUGGGUAUCAAACAGGAUUAGAUACCCGUGUAGUC
rnacentral:rRNA from 1 species